AGGAUGAACGCUGGCGGCGUGCUUAACACAUGCAAGUCAUGGGGGGCCCAGCAAUGGGCAACCGGCGAACGGGUGCGUAACACGUGAGCAACCUACCCAGGUGUGGGGGAUAGCCGUCCCAACGGACGGGUAAUACCGCAUACGCUCAACACGAGGCAUUUCGAGUUGAGGAAACCUUCGGGGCACCAUGAGGGGCUCGCGGCCUAUCAGCUAGUUGGCGAGGUAACGGCUCACCAAGGCUACGACGGGUAGCUGGUCUGAGAGGAUGACCAGCCACAUUGGGACUGAGAAACGGCCCAGACUCCUACGGGAGGCAGCAGUGGGGAAUCUUGCGCAAUGGCCUAACGGCUGACGCAGCGACGCCGCGUGUGGGAUGACGCUCUUCGGAGUGUAAACCUCUUUUGCCUGGAACGAACUAUCAGCUUCAGCUGAUUUGACGGUACCGGUGAAUAAGCACCGGCUAACUCCGCGCCAGCAGCCGCGGUAA
rnacentral:rRNA from 1 species